rnacentral:misc_RNA from 1 species
GCUGACUCUGGUUUUAAAAAUUGUCACUAAUAUCUGCUGUGUUGGUGUCUUUAUGAUUGAUCCCCAUCUGAAAAAGCUAUGCAAGGUAUUUAAUGGGCAUUGUCAAUAAGUGAUAACUUGUUUAGACUUCAGAGGCCUAAUAAUACUAUAGUUGAUUGUAAGGCAAGAUAGAGUGCUAAUGUAAUGGUGAUUGAAGAACUCUUAAUGUCUACUACAGGGUUGACAAUUUGACAUGCUUGUGCUUGAAUAGGUUCCUUUCUGACAUUCAGAUGUGAACAA